ACGACUCCAAAAUAGAUAGGUAUACAUGCACCGGGGCUUGCCUUGUUCGUUAAAAAGAUUAGUAUUCUCCGACGGGUGGGCUUCACAGGGGACUAAUUCAAAAACUUCUUCGGACUCCGAAGGUCCUUCUGAAAAUUCCAAAUAUUCUCCUUCUGGUGCUUCGGGAUCUAUAGCACAAUACAUGCAGGGGUUAGAAAUGCAAAAUUUUGAAUAAAAGACUAUACAACUUUCCUUCAUGAUAAAUUUGCAAGCCAACAAGGACUAUACAACCUAUCAUGAUAAAGUUGCAAGCCAACACACAUAAACCCAAAAAGAUUAACCCACAAUUUUAUUUUUCUUACUUAACCCUUUUUAGAAAAAGUUAUAAUUAUUUUCUAACUUGAAAAUCUAAUUUCCUAUGAGUUAAGAAUAAUUUGUGAUUAAGAAAGUGUUAUUUAUAUUUUAUACAUUUUAUAAAUAUUAAGCAUUUAUUUAAUUACCUUAAAAGGAAGGCAUUAAAUAAAUACCCGAAUUUUUAUUAUUUUCCUAGGGUGUAAAAAUUUUAAUGUAUAAAGGAAAAUAAAACAAGCCUAACAAAAUUGGUUUCACUAAUUUUGGACACUCCUAGAAAUUUCUGUGAUUUAAAUGGUGUAAAACGGAUUUAAACUAAUUACUUUCUUAAAGGAAAUCUAAUUUUCCCGAAAAACACCCGGAAAAACUUUUCUUACUCAGCCUAACUCUACCCCCUCUCAUGCGCACUGGGCCCCACGGCGCGGACCCACCUUUCUCCUGUUCUAUUUACCCGCCGGCCCCUUUCUCCUCUUAACGGGCCCCGUGGGCCGUUUUUCUUUUUC
rnacentral:lncRNA from 1 species